rnacentral:lncRNA from 10 species
GGUCAGGCUGGUCUCGAACUCCUGGCCUCAUGAUCCACCCACGUCGGCCUCCCAAAGUGCUGGGAUUACAGGUGUGAGCCACGGUGCCCAGCUAAGAAAUAAUAUUUUAAAAAAUUUUUACAAAUAUUAUACCAAUGUUAUAACCUGGGAAAUGUGCAGACAUAUUCAGUGUGAAUGAAAAAGGAAGCAGUUACAGGACACAGAUCAAAUAGAGAAAUAACAAUGAACACUUUCACGGUAUUUACAUGCCAGGCCCUGUUCUAAGUGUUUGACAUAUAUGAGCUUAUUCAAUGCUCAUAAUAGCCUUAUAACUUGCAUACUGCUAGCAGGCCCAUUUGAAAGAUUAAGAUGAAGCACAAAGAGGCACUUACAAAGACCACACAGUCUGAACUUGAAAACGGGCAGUGGAGCCCAAGAACCAGUGAAUGCCCUUGACCACCUUUCUUCUUAAUUUCUGGUCCCAACCACUCUUCCAGUCUACCUCGAAGCAGAAUUCAGUGAUAUUACUGUAAUUUUAAGCAGAUCAAGGGCAGCCAGGAGCAGGAUGGGAAGAGGCAGAGAUGUUGAAGGAAACAUGGAGACGGGAAGAAUGAAGCUGGACAACCGGGCAUAGAGUAGCAGCACCAAAAGAAAAGGACAAGAAGUCAAGGAAGGGGAAGCUGGAAAUGGGUUGAUGGAGUUCAUGGGCAAGGGUGAAAAGCAAGGAGGUUGAGAGAGAGUGAAGAGAUCAUGAUGUUGCUCUGGAGAGGCAUGAGGGAGCCAGUCUGGGAAGUAGAGCCAAGAAGAGAUGCGUUUAGAAAUGAGGACUUGGGUCCAGAAAGAUAAAAUAGAAAGGGGACAAAUAAAGAGAAGGAGACAAAAUGAAAAGGGAAGGUCCUCUCCUUGGGCAUUCCAAAGGCCAUCAUGCCCUAUGGUCCAGAUAAGAGAGCAUUUGUUAAUAAAAAUUAAAAGACUUGGAUCUAGCACCAGUGAUUUUUCAUUUUGUUCAUCCAUUCCCUAACAGCUUGUGAGCGUUCACUUCUAAAAUAAUAGAGACAGAAGAGACCAAGCCAGAAUGACAUUU